ACGGAAGGCAGCAGUGGGGAAUAUUGGGCAAUGGGGGAAACCCUGACCCAGCAACGCCGCGUGAAGGAAGAAGGCUUUCGGGUUGUAAACUUCUUUUACCAGGGACGAAGGACGUGACGGUACCUGGAGAAAAAGCCACGGCUAACUACGUGCCAGCAGCCGCGGUAAUACGUAGGUGGCAAGCGUUGUCCGGAUUUACUGGGUGUAAAGGGCGUGUAGGCGGAGAUGCAAGUCAGAAGUGAAAUCUCUGGGCUUAACCCAGAAACUGCUUUUGAAACUGUAUCCCUUGAGUAUCGGAGAGGCAGGCGGAAUUCCUAGUGUAGCGGUGAAAUGCGUAGAUAUUAGGAGGAACACCAGUGGCGAAGGCGGCCUGCUGGACGACAACUGACGCUGAGGCACGAAAGCGCGGGGAUCGAACAGGAUUAGAUACCCUGGUA
rnacentral:rRNA from 1 species